rnacentral:snRNA from 1 species
GUCACAUUGGUUUCCAUACAACACCCAGUGCUCUGUCGAAGAGGACGACCUUCCCCGAUAGAGGAGGACCGUUCUUUGGUCAAGGGUAUAUGAGUAGUUGCGCUCCCCUGCUAGAACCUCCAAACAAGCUCUCAAAGUUUAGAUUUAGAAACACAGAUUGUGCUUACAUGUCUUGGAUGAGAAUUAAUGAAGCAUAUGAUUGCAUAUAGUCAUUUUAUU